rnacentral:rRNA from 1 species
UGCCAGCCGCCGCGGUAAUACGGAGGGGGUUAGCGUUGUUCGGAAUUACUGGGCGUAAAGCGCGCGUAGGCGGACUAUUAAGUCAGGGGUGAAAUCCCGGGGCUCAACCCUGGAACUGCCUUCGAUACUGUUAGUCUUGAGGUCGAGAGAGGUGAGUGGAAUUCCGAGUGUAGAGGUGAAAUUCGUAGAUAUUAGGAAGAACACCAGUGGAGAAGGCGGCUCACUGGCCCGAUACUGACGCUGAGGUGCGAAAGCGUGGGGAGCAAACAGGAUUAGAUA